rnacentral:rRNA from 1 species
UACGAAGGGGGCUAGCGUUGCUCGGAAUCACUGGGCGUAAAGCGCACGUAGGCGGCUCGUUGCGUCGGCUGUGAAAACCCGCAGCUCAACUGUGGGCUUGCAGCCGAUACGGGCGGGCUAGGAUUCGGUAGGGGAGACUGGAAUUCCUGGUGUAGCGGUGAAAUGCGCAGAUAUCAGGAAGAACACCCGUGGCUAAGGCGGCUCUCUAGUACGGUACUGACGCUGAGACGCGAAAGCGUGGGGAGCGAACAGG